GGAUGCGUGAUGGCCCCAACAUUAUUCAGCAUCUUCUUCUGUUAUUGAAGGACAUGUUUGGGACGUCGACAGAAGGCAUCUACAUGCACAUCAGGUGCCUGACUUUCAAGUGUGCCAUGUUGGAUAUCAGACAUUUUGGAAUGUCAUGGAGAUGCAGUGUGUAGUGUAAAUGUCCGUGAUGGCGGGAAGAGAGACCCCGAUGAUCUUCUCAGCUGACCUCACUAUCCGCUGCAGGGUCUUGCGAUCCGAGAUGGUGCAAUUUCUGAACCAGGCAGUGAUGCAGUUGCUCAGGGUGCUCUCAUUAAGAGUCACAUUAAGAGGUGAAUGGACCACUCCACUGCAUUAGUUGUGAUAAAGGGUCUCUGAACUGGAUUAGAGUCACAGAGCAAUACAGCACAGAUACAGACCCUUUGGUGACCAGUCCAUACCAGCCAGCGAGAACUGAUUUCCUGUGUGCAGCUCAUAUUCCUCUAAGGCCCGUCCUCCAUGAACCCGCCCGAGUAUGUCUUAAAUGAUCCUAUUGUACCUGCCUCAACCACUUCCUUUGGCAAUUCAUUCCAUAUCCUGUUUAAAUUCUUUCCCUGCUCACCCUAAACCUACACCUUCUAGUUUUGGCCUGCCCCACACUGAGGAAAAGACUGCCACCAUCCACCUGAUCUAUACCUCUCAUAAUCGUAAACACUUCUACAAGGCCACCUCUUA